UUUACCCAUAAUUCUAUUACUGAAGGAAACAAAAAAGAAUAAAUUCUUAUUGUAUCGACAUGGGUCGUUAAUUCUCUGCGAAAUAAUCUAUUUUUAUAAGUGAUGAAGUAUUCACAUUUGUGUGGGGAACACAAAAAGAAAGAGUUUUUGGAGCUAGUACGCUCUUUGGAGCAAAUAUGUACUUCGGAAUUUAAUGUUACACAUGUAUAGGAUUUCAUAAAAAAGAUUGUCAACCCGUGUUCUGGUUUGCGCAUAUGAAUUUAGGUGGCGGGAACCUUUGGACAGCUUCUACAUUUUUAAGAUUUUGCUUGACACCAUCAGGAGUUAUAUGUCCUAAAUAGGCAAUUUCAUGUCGAAGAAAAUGACAUUUUUCUGGUUGCAAGGCUAAUCCUGCCGAUUUUAAUCGCUCUAAUAGGACCCUUAACUCUCGAGAAUGUUCAGCUAAGGACGAGGCAUAAAGGACUAUGUCGUCCAUAUGAAAGAAGAGCUCGAUACCCUGGAGACCUGUCAACACUUGAUCCAUCAUCCGCUGAAACGUGGCGGAUGCAUUCUUACGCCCGAAUGGUAUUCUAUUGUACUCUAAUGGCCAUAAGGAGUAGAAAAAGCAGUUUUGGCCCUGGACUGUGGGUCCAUUGGGAUUUGAUGAAAUCCCAUUACCAAGACUAGAACAGAAAAGUAUUGAGCUCCAUCAAUCCGCAAUAUUCGGUUAAAGAUAAGCGUCUUGAACAUUUCGCUCCUUUAGGGCACUAUAAUUGAUGACCAUCCGCCAUCGCUUAUUACCUUGUGCAUCAGGGGGUUUAGGCGCAAGUAAUGCGGGACCAUCGUUUUAAUCGUUUAAUCGUUUUAAUCCUCAAGCGUGGUUUGGGAUUCCAGCUUUCCGUUUUUCGAGAUUUAAGUUCACCGACUUAUUCUCAGAAAUUGGAGAGUUGCGAUCUCAAACUUAUAACUGCAUUUCGAUUCCGCGUAAACUUCAACCGUCUUAGGUAACAGAAUUCUCGCCAACCGAGGGCAGCAAAUUCUCACCGUAUUCCAAUGGGUGGUAGGAGCGGGUGACCAAUGACAGGGCUCGAUUCGUCCUCCUUACCGCUGGAAUGCGCACGGGUUUGCUCAGCGUUUUAAAAGAGCUACGAAGGAUCAACAGGACAGCCAGACAGUAUCACCUCAAUCGAGGAGCGCAGCUGGUCACAGGGAACCUCGCGCUGACUCGAACGAUCCCCUGUAAUUCGUACCACCAUUUCUUCUUAAUUAAGUUCUUUUGUUACUUUAAAAUUCCAGCCUUUUUAUUUCAUUCACAAUUUUUCACCACCUUUUAAUUCAACUUAGUUUUUCCUCUUUAAUAACUUUCUCCCGAAUCUUCGAUCUCAGUUUAUGAGCAUCCGCCAGAUGUGUAAAAUAACUGUUCCUGUCAAAUUUCGCGGCACUUUGGCGAAUCCAAAUAUAAUUUUUUUAUUGUUAAAAAAUAACAUAAUACGGUUUCACCAAAAAGGUUAGAUGAUACUUGGAACAAAGGAGCCUCCCGCGAUCAAAUCGGGACACGCUCGAAAUGCCUUGGUUUCAGUUGGCCUCUUGAUUAUUCUCUUUCUUGAUUUUUUCAAGUCGGAUUUUCAAUUUUUUGAAGCAUAUGUUAAUAGUAAAUGUCAUUCCAUAUAUUUUUGUUUUUUAAAGAGAGUUUCUAACUUUUUUAGUUUUCGAGAUACUCGCGAAAUUGUUACUUUUUGACAAAAUUAUAUUUUUGCGUUCCGCUCGUCAAGAGUUCCGCUCUUGCCAAGAAAUGAGCAAUAGAAAGAAUGGAAGAAAGGCUAUUCUCAAACUUCUUUGUGCUCCUGUAUUUUAUUUCGCAUAUAAGGCAAAUGGGAACAAAUCGUACUUUGUUUUGAUUGUGGUGUAAACAGGCAAGAUCUUCGCCUCUUCUAGUCCUAUUAUUGAAGGAGUUAGAGCGAGCGGAACGCAAAAAUAUAACGAUUUUUAAUUUUGUCAAAAAAUAACAAUUUCGUGAUUAUCUCGAAAACUAAAAAAGUUAGAAACUCUUUUCAAGAAACAUAAAUAUGUGGAAUGCAAUUUCCUAUCAAAAUAUGCUUUAAAAAUAUUUUAGAUCCGACUUGAAAGAAGUAAGAACGACAAUAAACAAGAAGCCAACUGAAACCAAGGCAUUUUGAGCGUGUCCCGGUUUGACGGCGGGGUGCUCCAAUGUAAACUGAACACGCGGACCAUGGAAUAACACACAGUGGGAAAAAGUUACUUUUGGUUCAAAAUAACGUACAGCCCACAAAUACUGACCGAUUUGGAUAAAUAAAUUUAGAAAAAAAAGCUGAUAAGAUUUCUAUGAGAGUUGUCGAGCCAGCAUUUUGAAUUAUGGUUUCAAUUUUUUUAUAAAUAAACAAAUAUGACGAAAAAAUUGCCAUUUUUUCUAUUUGACGUUCCUGGUUCUCGUCAAUA